rnacentral:sRNA from 1 species
UCCUAAGAUUGGCAUGGAACAAUGUAGGUA